CAGCCGCCGCGGGAAUACGAAGGGUGCAGGCGUUAAUCGGAAUUACUGGGCGUAAAGCGUGCGUAGGCGGUGAGUUAAGUCUGCUGUGAAAUCCCCGGGCUCAACCUGGGAAUGGCAGUGGAUACUGGCUCGCUAGAGUGUGUCAGAGGAUGGUGGAAUUCCCGGUGUAGCGGUGAAAUGCGUAGAGAUCGGGAGGAACAUCAGUGGCGAAGGCGGCCAUCUGGGACAACACUGACGCUGAGGCACGAAAGCGUGGGGAGCAAACAGGAUUAGAUACCCGAGUAGUCCCUGUCUCUUAUAA
rnacentral:rRNA from 1 species